UACGUAGGGCGCAAGCGUUAUCCGGAAUUAUUGGGCGUAAAGAGCUCGUAGGCGGUUUGUCGCGUCUGCCGUGAAAGUCCGGGGCUCAACUCCGGAUCUGCGGUGGGUACGGGCAGACUAGAGUGAUGUAGGGGAGACUGGAAUUCCUGGUGUAGCGGUGAAAUGCGUAGAUAUCUGGAGGAACACCGGUGGCGAAGGCGGCAUCCUGGACCGGCAUUGACGCUGAUGAGCGAAAGCUAGGGGAGCAAACGGGG
rnacentral:rRNA from 1 species